AUACUUACCUGGCACGGGAGGUACCCUGAUCACUAAGGGGGUCCCCCAGGGUGAGGCCUGUCCAUUGCACUGCGGGCGGGUUGACCCCUGCGAUCACCCCAAAUGCGGUUGACUCGAGUGCGGAAUUUGUGCGUAAGGGGGACUGCGUUCGCGCUAUCCUCCG
rnacentral:snRNA from 1 species